rnacentral:rRNA from 1 species
UACGUAGGGUGCGAGCGUUGUCCGGAAUUAUUGGGCGUAAAGAGCUUGUAGGCGGUUUGUCGCGUCUGCUGUGAAAUUCCAGGGCUUAACCCUGGGCUUGCAGUGGGUACGGGCAGACUAGAGUGUGGUAGGGGAGACUGGAAUUCCUGGUGUAGCGGUGAAAUGCGCAGAUAUCAGGAGGAACACCGGUGGCGAAGGCGGGUCUCUGGGCAGUAACUGACGCUGAGGAGCGAAAGCGUGGGGAGCGAACAGG